rnacentral:siRNA from 1 species
CCAUAUUCUCUCCCUCGCCGG